rnacentral:tRNA from 1 species
AUGGCUCAGUGGUUAAGAGCACUUGUUCUUGCAGAGGUUCUGGGUUCAAUUCCCAGU